AUGGAGCCGACCUUGAAAUACCACCCUUUAAUGUUUGAUGUUCUAACGUUGACCCGUAAUCCGGGUUGCGGACAGUGUCUGGUGGGUAGUUUGACUGGGGCGGUCUCCUCCUAAAGAGUAACGGAGGAGCACGAAGGUUGGCUAAUCCUGGUCGGACAUCAGGAGGUUAGUGCAAUGGCAUAAGCCAGCUUGACUGCGAGCGUGACGGCGCGAGCAGGUGCGAAAGCAGGUCAUAGUGAUCCGGUGGUUCUGAAUGGAAGGGCCAUCGCUCAACGGAUAAAAGGUACUCCGGGGAUAACAGGCUGAUACCGCCCAAGAGUUCAUAUCGACGGCGGUGUUUGGCACCUCGAUGUCGGCUCAUCACAUCC
rnacentral:rRNA from 1 species